rnacentral:sRNA from 1 species
CCCUGUGUUGGCCCAAUUGCAUCUGAACAGCGGCACUUUGAACAUGUGAUAGUCCAUAAGUAAAAUCUCCUUUAUCACUCCAUAAUAUGUAAGCAUAUCAGUGACUUGUCUCAUAUCUCGAGCACUUGAUCUACACAUGCUAAAUGCUUCAUAAGUUACUCCACUGUUUUGUGUCUUCCGCUUAAUAGCAUCUAUAUGAAACUGUUGCCCACUAACGAUAAAUCCU